GGAUUUGUCAGUUGGUCGGGCUUCACUGUCCGUAUUGACUUGAUGGAUUCUUACCUUCUGAAUAACCAGCAUGCUAUUAAGUUAGUGCGUUGGGGAAGCAGAUCUAUUACCUUGAAAAAAUUAGUGCUUAAAGCGAGAUAGUGCUUGAAUAGAUUAGCAUGGAAUAAUAAAAUAGGACUAUUUUGUUGGUUUCUAGGAUCACCGUA
rnacentral:rRNA from 1 species